rnacentral:rRNA from 1 species
AUGAAGACUCCCAUUGAAGUUCUCCUUAAUGAACAACCUGAUUAUACCUUUCUCAAGGUCUUUGGGUGUGCUUGCUGGCCGCAUCUUCGUCCAUAUAAUAAGCGCAAGUUUGAGUUUCGUUCUAAGAAGUGUGUUUUUCUUGGCUAUAGCUCUCUUCAUAAAGGUUACAAAUGUCUUCAUGUUCCCACUAAUCGUGUCUAUAUAUCUCGGGACGUCGUGUUUGAUGAGCAUGUUUUUCCCUUUGCCAAACUUCCUGUGUCCACUGUUGAACCACCAUCUCUGCAUUCAUCCUCUGUUGCUUCUGACCAAUUUGAUGAUGUUGCAUACUCUCCUUUGCUGUUACCUAACCAUGGUGUAGGAACCGGACGUGGGGCUUGUUUGGACCUAUUGGAGGAUUCACCAUCAUCGUCGCCGCCUUCUGAUGGGCACGUGGAUCGCCCUAUGCAUGGCAUCGAUUCGCGUGCCCAGGCAUGGUCACCCGAAGAGCCCGUCGCGCCGAGCGUCUCCACUGCUCGGUCCGCUAUGCCAGCGGCCGCCGAGUCUUCAGCGGCUCGGCCUGUCACGCCGGCUUCGCCCGCCGCUCGGCCCGUCACGCCGUCUUCGCCUGUGGCUCGGGUCCUCACGUCGCCUUCAUCCGCGGCUCGGCCCGCGACACCGGCCUCGCCCCUGCCCACUAUGCCGGGCUCGCCAUCGACCCGGUCCGUGACGCCGGCAUCCCCAGCUGCUUCGUCAGCCUCGCCGGGUUCGCCUGUGGGCCGGCCUUCUUCGCCAACCGAGCCCGAGGCUACCGCGUCUGGCUCUGUGUCACCGGCUGACUCGUCAACGUCGCCGUCCUCCAGCCCGUUGCAGGCUGCUCCGUCGACCUCUGUGGUUCCUGUGUCCCGACCACAUACGCGCAGUCGCAGUGGUAUUUUCAAACCCAAGGAACGUAAGGAUGGUACGGUUGCUUGGUUGGCUGCUUGUUUGGCUGCUGCUGUUGCGGAUCCAUCUUCUGAGCCUCGCUCAUAUCAGGCUACCCUGUGCAUUCCACAUUGGCGAGAGGCUAUGGAGCAAGAGUUUCAUGCUCUCCUUCGUAACAAGACAUGGACUCUCGUUCCUCCACCACCACGGGUAAAUGUUAUUGACUCAAAAUGGGUAUUCAAAGUGAAGAAGCAUUCAGAUGGACCUAUUGAGCGUUACAAAGCACAACUUGUUGCUCGCGGUUUUCGGCAGCGCCAUGGUCUUGACUAUGAGGACACCUUCAGUCCUAUCGUCAAGCCUACCACUAUUCGGCUUCUUAUUUCCAUUGCUGUUUCUCGUGGUUGGUUACUUCGUCAACUUGAUGUGCAGAAUGCUUUUCUACAUGGAGUUUUGGAGGAAGAGGUUUAUAUGAAACAACCACCUGGUUUUUCCGAUCCUGAUCGUCCUGAUUAUAUCUGUCGUCUCAACAAAGCACUAUAUGGUUUGAAGCAAGCUCCUCGUGCCUGGCAUGCCCGCCUUGCCUCUGCCCUUCGUGCUCAUGGGUUUGUGCCGUCCACUGCUGACACUUCAUUAUUUCUUCUACAGAAGCCAGAAGUCACUAUGUAUCUUUUGGUAUAUGUCAAUGAUAUUAUCCUUGUCAGCUCUUCUCAGUAUGCUGCUGAUGCUCUUGUCUGCUCUCUUGGUGCUGAUUUUGCGGUCAAAGAUCUUGGGAAGCUUCACUACUUUCUUGGAGUUGAGGUCACUUCUCGUGCUACUGGUCUUGUCCUUACGCAGAAGAAGUACUCCUUGGAUUUGUUACAAAGAGCUGGCAUGCUGAAGUGCAAACCGACAACCACACCCAUGUCGUCUACCGACAAGAUUACAGUUGUUGAUGGUGAGCUUUUGUCUCCUGCGGAUGCCACAGAGUACAGGAGCAUUGUUCGUGGACUUUAG